CUCGCAGUGUUGGGGGGGCUCCCCCAGGGCCACAGGGGUACAUACAGCCUUGUGGCUCGUGAGCUGACCAGCUGUGGUCUCCUGGGCUGUGGACACAUCACCCCUCCCGGCCUCCGUAUGAGGACCCAGGAGUGUUGGAUUCGGGCUCUUAUUACCCUGGGAUGACCUCAUCUCUACGUGUUUUAUUUUCAUCGACCCGAUUUCCAAAUAAGGUCACCUGCGUAGGCGCUAGGGGUCAGGACUUCCGCGCGUCUUUUAUGUUGAACACAACCCGUCACAUGCCUCAUGGUGGUGAUUUCCGCAGCCCAAGUUAACACUGUAUUAAGCAUAUUUGUGGUGAGGAAUCCGUCUCGGAGAACCUCGUCCUGCGGCUUGUAGACACCGGCACACGUUGGCAGACACUGGUCCCACGCUGGUCCCCGCUUUUAACCUGUUCUUCCGUGACUCGUUGAUCAGCAGUGAGCAGAGUCCUGGCCACCACCCAUGUGACAGAAUACUCUGGAAGCCGCGGACAGCUGUACAUACAGAAAUGGCAAGAUCAGCAAAUGAUGGUAACGAGCAUGGACAAGUCUCAUAAAUUUGAGUAUUUUUUAAAGGAGCACAUGCCAUAGACUUCGACUGAUGCCUUCACGAGGUAACAAGCAGGAAGAUGAGGGUGGUUCAUCGUGAGUUAGAACAAGGUACUUACGUCGGCUCACGUAAAGAAUGCUGGCUUAGCGUUGCAAACACAACCUCCAACAGAGUGAUGUCGCACAGACCGGAGGGGCUGUGACCUCCGAGGACUCCUGUGCCUGCAGAGGUGACUGACCGCUCACUGGACAAAUACACCUCCUUUGCUAUGGGACGGGGGUCUCCGCACCCUCAUUUUUCUUCGUUUCAUUAGAUCUGGACGCUCGGUUCCCCCCUGAGGUGAGGACACCCUGCACGCGGCAAGGACACUGGAAAUGGCCAGCGUCUUCCCCAACAGCUCAUCUCUGAGACCUGCCUGCAUCCACUUACCGGACAGAAGUCACCUGGUGGUCAGGCUUCUCCGGACAGAUGCCUCUCCCCAGAGGCUCACACCUGUGGUCCGCGAGCAGCGUGUGCGGUAUCCCAGGGAAACAGGGCGGCCUUUCGGUCAUCUCUUUGUAAGGAUUAACCAGCAGCCUUCAGGAAAAUGAGUCUCUUUUUUCCCUUCAUUCAAUGGACAUUUCAUCCGUAUACCCAUCACCAUUGCUGCUGGGAUGGUCUCAACCACCCAUAACCAUGGAAACUUCUAACCAGGUGCCGUCGUGAGUCAAGUCCCCACUCUCUGCCGAGGACUUGGCCACACAGGACAGCAGCACUCCUGGCUGAAAGCCGGGAACGGGGCUGUGAUGGUCAGCUUCAGGGUCCACUCGGCUGUCCAGGCGCACCCGGAGUGUCACCGUGCAGGUCUCUUGUAGGUGUGGUCGGCAGCCUCGGAGUACAGCGGCGUUCCCUCCACGGUGUGGGGGCCUCGCCCGAUUAGCGGAGGACUCCAGAGUAAAACCAGGUUUCUCAAAGAAGAAAUUCUGCCUGUUGAGUGAGGUGCUGGCCUGCCCUGCAGAUUCCAGCCUUGCAGCCCUUGGUCCGUCUCCCUCUGUCUCAGCGUGUGGAGGGACGAUUGGGGAUGCUAUCACAUUGUGGGUGGACACAUACCCCAUUGACUCGAGGUCUCCGGGGAACUUGGGCUAACACGGACCCCCUCGGGCCCGUGCAGAAGCUGUGAUGUCUGUGCUCUCGACGGCUGUAAUAGCUUCAGCUUUGUGUUUCCCUCAUCUGCAUAGUUACAAAGGUUACACUAAAUUACAAGACAUGAACGUAAGGUGAGCAGAUAUUAAUACACAAAAAACUCGG